CAUUUCUGAUGUAAGGAAAUAAGGAUGCUUGGUCUGGUGAGCUUGUACUCAUUUUGGCUAUAGGGUGGACAUUUAAAAGCAAGAUUAUUUUAGCACACAUUAUUGAUUCCUGUUAGACACAUACAGCUGGACAAAUUUUGUGCACCAGGAAGCUUGCUGUGAUUGCAUUACACAGACAAGGAACUUUAUCCAGUGUAAACUUCCACAGAAACCCAUGCCUUGGAGUGUAGGAAGAAAAGUUAUGACGUUUGAGAGUAAACAGUUUUAUCUUCCUGUAUGAAAGAAAAAGUUGCGAGCUUAUUUCACUGCAGAUUUGGGCUGCAGAUCCCUCCCCCCAAAAAGAGCUAUACAAAAAUGGAUGCCUAUUUGUUCUCAGAGGUCACUAUAAUCAUAAUAAAUUGUUUUUGUCACAGAAUAUAUGUCUAUCCUAGAUGCAUUGACUGAAUAUGCAUGCAGCCCUGAUGUAAUUGUUGUUAAUUUAAUUACAGUAUGGCAACCCUCUCCAAUAUUCUUGCCUGGAGAAUCCCAUGGACAGAGGAGCCUGGUGGGCUACAGUCCAUGGAGUCACAAAGAGUCAGAUAUGACCAAGUGAUUUUCCAGUCUAAAUAGGCAGCUUACAAUCUCCAACCACAUCAACAAGCCAUGACAUGAUGCAGGGAAACUGAUAUCAGCCAGUUUCAUCUCCUGUUCUGAUGGCAGAAGCGUCUCACAGUUCAGUCACCGUGCGUGUGCCCUCAGGCAUGGCUCAGGCAUCUACUCAGAGGAAGAACUUCCCACAUGGGGCUCCCUGGCCUGCUCAGAGCUGUCAUAGCCUCUGUCUGCCUUGCUAAGGCUGAUAAGGAUGACCGCCAGCAGACUCAGCUCUGCUCAGCUCCCAUGUGUAGAGGAUCCAUCAUGGCCCAGAAAGUAACUCAAAACCAGUCAGAAAUUCCUGUGCUGGAGAAGAAGGAUGUAAAAUUGAACUGUGCAUAUGAAGCUGAUAGUUAUUCUUAUUAUUUAUUCUGGUAUAAGCAACCACCAAGUGGGGAAAUGAUUUUCCUUAUUCAUCAGGAGUCUUACAAUGAGCUGAAUACAACAAAAGGCCAGUAUUUUUUGAACUUCCAGAAAGCAACGAGUUCCAUCAGCCUCACCAUCACAGACUUACAGCUCGAGGACUCAGCGGUGUAUUUCUGUGCUCUGAGAGACCACAGUGAUGCCGGUGCCUGAGGGAGCCCCACAGAAACCUCAGAUGUCAACAUGUGGAGUCCCCCAGCUAUGAACACCUUCGUGAGAUUCUCAGUAAGGACAGGAACAGGUAGGGGGGUUAGAAGUGAAAACCUCACUGUAAGGAAAAUGCUAUCUCUUUGGCUCAGAGAGCAUAU